rnacentral:ncRNA from 1 species
AUUCUGGUUGAUCCUGCCAGUAGUUAUAUGCUUGUCUCAAAGAUUAAGCCAUGCAUGUCUAAGUACACACGAAUUAAAAGUGAAACCGCAAAAGGCUCAUUAUAUCAGUUAUGGUUCCUUAGAUCGUUAACAGUUACUUGGAUAACUGUGGUAAUUCUAGAGCUAAUACAUGCAAGUUAAAACAUGAACCUUAUGGGACAUGUGCUUUAUUAGGCUAAA